AUACGUAGGGGGCGAGCGUUGUCCGGAAUGAUUGGGCGUAAAGGGCGCGUAGGCGGCUUUGCAAGUCAGUAGUGGAAGUCCAUUUUUCAAGGAUGGAAGUGCUACAGAAACUGCGGAGCUUGAGUGCAGGAGAGGUUAUCGGAAUUCCCGGUGUAGCGGUGAAAUGCGUAGAGAUCGGGAGGAACACCAGUGGCGAAGGCGGGUAAAUGGACUGCAACUGACGCUGAGGCGCGAAAGCGUGGGUAGCAAACAGGAUUAGAUACCCUGGUAGUCCACGCUGUAAACGAUGAUUACUAGGUGUGGGGGGACUGACCCCUUCCGUGCCGCAGUUAACACAAUAAGUAAUCCACCUGGUGAGUACGGCCGCAAGGUGGAAACUCAAAGGAAUGGACGGGG
rnacentral:rRNA from 1 species